rnacentral:rRNA from 1 species
GGGGGGGGGGGGGGGGGGGCGGGGGGGGGGGGGGGGGGGCGGCGGCAGAGGAGGGGCUUGCUCGGACGGGGGGGGAGUGGGGGACGGGUGCGGGAUACAGCGGCGUCUACGUUUUCGUGGGGGGGAACGUAGGGAAACUGACGCUAGUACCGCAUACGGCAUCCGGGGGACAGCAGGGGCUCUUCUGAUCUUUCCCGCUUGAAAUGGCCUACGUCGGAUUAGCGAGUUGGCGGGGUAAAGGCCCCCCACGGCCACGAUCCGUAUCUGGUCUGAGAGGAUGAUCAGACACACUGGAACUGAGACACGGUCCAGACUCCUACGGGAGGCAGCAGUGGGGAAUAUUGGACAAUGGGCGCAAGCCUGAUCCAGCCAUACCGCGUGGGUGAAGAAGGCCUUCGGGUUGUAAAGCCCUUUUGUUGGGAAAGAAAAGCAGCAGGUUAAUACCCCGCUGUUCUGACGGUACCCAAAGAAUAAGCACCGGCUAACUUCGUG